rnacentral:tRNA from 2 species
GUCCCGGUGGUCUAAUGGAUAAGACAGUAGAUUCCGGUUCUACUAAUACGGGUUCGAUUCCUGUCCGGGACACCA